CAGUGUGAUAUUUCAGUUCAGUUUCCCCUUCGUGAAACAUGUCACAUCAUCUGAAGUGUGAGAAUGUGUUUAUGUCUCAGUGUGACUCUUAAGGGAUAGAGGAAGAAUGAGUGGGAACCCUGAUUGAAGACAGCUGUGGUUGUCUAUGACUUAGCAUGUAGGACUUAAGCACUGUGUGAGUGUGUGUGUGUGUGUGUGCGUUGUUUUGUGUAAUAGCAGAGAGUGGACAGCAGGAGUGUGUGAGUUGUUCAGUUCAGACUCGUGUAGAAGGAAAAUGGAGAGAAAAAAAAGCCUUGUUUCCUCUUUUGGUGAGCAGCAGGAAAUUGAUACUUUAGAGCAGAGUGGGGGAGAAGAGAGAAAAAGUUCUCCCUCUGACUGAACAAAGGACAAGAGAGGAGAAGCAGAGAGGAGGAGGGAUACACUCGCAGAGAGAAAGAUAGAGCGCAUGGGGUAAAGGAGAGGGGGCAGAAAGAGUGUGAGUGUGUCAGAAGAGGUAGGACAACCAAAGAGGACAAGAGAGAGAGAGAGAGAGAGUGAGUGAGUUUGUGGUCCCGCCCCAUUCUCUUGUUUAUCAUGAGUAGGAGUGAUUGAGUGAAUGAGUGAGUGCAUGCCUAGUCUACUUCUUCAGCCCAGCGUGAGAGAAAGACGAUAGUGGAGGGAGAGAGAGAAAGAAGAAGAAGAGAGAAAGAGAGAGAGAGAGAGAAUGAGAUAGAUAGGAACAGACCAGGCAAAGAGGAACCGUUGGUGAUUUCCCUCCCGGAGGACCAGCGGAGGAUCACUGGAGGGCACGCCACGCCGCCCAGGGGAGCGAGGAGACGCCGCUGGAGGAUGUGAUGAGUAAAUGAGCAAAGGAGAGGUGCAGCCAUGUCGUUCUUUGGCCUGGAUUGUGUGAGGACAAGAGAAAGGGAGGAGGAGAGGAGACUGAAAGCCAAUGACAGAGAUUAUAAUCUCCCCUUUAAGUAUGCGACCAACGCCAUUCAGACCUCAAAGUAUAACGUCCUCACCUUCCUGCCGCUUAACCUCUUUGAGCAGUUCCAAAGGAUAGCCAACGCUUACUUCAUUUUUCUACUCAUGCUACAGGUGAGCUGACGUUAACAGCACCACAGUCAUUGUCAUUGAUUUGAUAUCUAACAGGAAUGUGUCUUUUCAGAAUCAAAUUUCUUUUUAUAAUUUCCCUAGCGAGCUACACUGUGGUAUAUGUAAAGACACUGAUAUACCAUGACUAAGGGCAGUGAAUAAUAAUGGGAGGGAGGUUUUGAUAUGGAGCUAAAUUACAGUGUUCUCUGUUAGUAGGAAUCCAUCAUCCCACUAAGAUACAGUCCGCAAUUCUGGCAAAAAGUUGUUGAUAUUUCAGCUCAACAGCCAAUCAAAUUACUGUCCUCCCUUCCAUACUCCGGAAGCAACGUGUUGAUUGGCUGGAAUAGUGUAUGGCUUGGUUCGAGCCACUAAUGUUUGUUUCUCAUGUAUAGAGCCAGGACUGUGUACGCGCACCGGAGUUUUUCAGAGCACAGACUGAACAGACAGCUAGAGGCCCGUGAGGAUUAAUUCAGUGAAUUUAACCAAAAGGUCUAUUUUGGGAUAGGAGAUUAGAAUCGCAGACUGCACCUUUAGAUCAGCUUGUUUGUGCUCUAUUCUUACCUUAGGUUUGGUAUGAUGGGCAAACU